rnacentral:rRNA from 1 species
GACGAACGCUGGCGGUGUGCUUAACACAUGCAAGUCGAACGGUAAGGCCCUUUGGGGUACACGAGUGGCGAACGGGUGAGUAACACGUGGGUGAUCUGCCCUGCACUUCGGGAUAAGCCUGGGAAACUGGGUCUAAUACCGGAUAGGACUCCGGACUGCAUGGUCUGGGGUGGAAAGCUUUUGCGGUGUGGGAUGGGCCCGCGGCCUAUCAGCUUGUUGGUGGGGUGAUGGCCUACUAAGGCGACGACGGGUAGCCGGCCUGAGAGGGUGACCGGCGACACUGGGCCUGAGAUACGGCCCAGACUCCUACGGGAGGCAGCAGUGGGGAAUAUUGCACAAUGGGCGCAAGGCUGAUGCAGCGACGCCGCGUGAGGGAUGACGGCCUUCGGGUUGUAAACCUCUUUCAGCAUCGACGAAGCGAAAGUGACGGUAGGUGCAGAAGAAGGACCGGCCAACUACGUGCCAGCCGCCGCGGUAA